rnacentral:lncRNA from 1 species
GUCAGGAAGAAACAGUUCGAUCGCUUUGUUCGUUUUGCUUCUUGCAGUUGUCAGCGUACGCUAUGGAGAAACAAGCGAAGAAGAUGGGACCGAGAAAGGACUAAAUUGUUUUCGAUACACAAUUAUCAAAAAAUAUGAUCUGUAUAAAUUAUUGAAAAAUUCUUGCCAAUACGCCAUCAAGGAAGCAGGCGAUGAACAAUACGACUUCAUUAAGAAUUUAGCCAUACACUUGAAUUCUACAAUGGGAAAAAGUUUUAUUCCCUGUUCACAAUAUAAAAUAAACACCACUGAUAUCGAACUAAAUCCUAACAAUUGCUUGAUGGAGUUACUGAAAAAGCCAGAAAGUUGCAAUAAAUGGUUAGAAGAAAUAAAGGUAUGCGUCGAUAAGCUUUGUGGUGAAGCUAAAAGAAAGGCUAAAGGGAAAGAGGAAUAUAAAGUGAAAUUUAUUGAUGAUUACUGCAGAUGGGCAGGUUCGAAGAAACAAUGAUAAUCACAAAUAA